GGUUCAAGGAAUCGAGCCGGAGCUCUCCCAAUCGCCGCCAAAUUCGCCGAUUCCAUCUCCGACCCCGGUGAGAAAAGCUUCAAUUCAGACCGCCUCCGCCCUCCUCUAGCCAGUCCGAGCCCUCCAGCAUGAUCUUGAAGGAGCUCGUCGCUGGUGACCUUCCGGUGGUGCUCCGCUCGAGCCGCGCCCCGUUCCCGCUUCCUCGCGUCAUGGCGCACCUCCGACGCCCUCUGCCUCGUCCCGCCUCAGCCUCCCUCGAAAAAUCCGAGCUCAACUUGAUCGCAGUCAUGGCGUUCUGUCUCAGGCCCCGCCUUGUUCUGGGUCAAAAGAGCCGCACGUCUUCUUCUAAUCAAAACUGAUUGCCUAGCUUAGUGAUCUGGCGCCCCAAUGGGCCUUGGCCCAGUUCGUCCCGGCAUAGCCCGUCGCUCUGUGCACGCAGUAGCCCAGAUCCACCCUCUCGCCUGGCGCGGCAGCAUUUGCUUCUUCCCGGAUAGGAUCGCGAAGUGGUGUGGUGAGAUACGACAAGUUCUCCGGAUGUUCCUCGGCGAGCUUUAACAGGCAAGCAUUUCCCAUAUACUCCUAUCCCUGCAGGAGUCGCUCACCUAUUUUAUUUUGCCUUCUCCCUCAUGCUAUCCUUAAGUUGCGUUCUUGUCACGUGUCCCUUCCACUUGUUACCUCAAGCAGCCUAUAUUGAAUCCACCAACCACCUACAGCUAUUGUUUGGUUAUCGGGUCUGCCUUGCGAGUCGUAGUGCAUGCUAGUGCUGUUUUAUCUUGUUAUCGUUGCUGUUAUCUUAUCGGGAUAUGUUGGGUUGUUGGGAGGUUAUCACAUGCUAUAUCAGUUGUUGGAGAUACACAUGUUUUACUUACUUGUUAACAACUAAAAUUGUGAGCAGAGGCAUCUGUGAGCCCCUUUGCGAAAGCAUCGGAACUUUGACUUGCUAAUGUCCCCUAGGACCCGAGUUCUUGUUAUCUGUUCCAAGAUUGAGCGCUCUACCCAUGAGUGGGGACGAUUAUUGGGACCCCCCCUCACCCAUUACCUUUUCUCAAGUUAGUUCAAAAGGGGGCCACAACCUUGGUUUUAUUUGCCUAUGCCAUGUAUGCCAUGCUUUACUUACUGUUGCCUUCGGGUGUUUACUUCCUGUUGCCUUCGGGUGUUUAUAUUCUGUACUGUACCCCGCGGGACGUUUAGCGAAAGCAUGUGGUUCGCACACCUAGCCGCCGUCGCAAACCCUGAGUCCGCUUCGGAGUACGGCCGGACUUCGUUACGAGUAGCUUAGUCGGGUGGCCCCCCUAGACUUUCUUGUUGAACUGGGAACGGUCUUGUUGUGAGACAUCCACCUGUCGUAAGUGGGUCGAGCAUGCGUAUGGUUACAUUUGGGCAACCCCUGCAGGGUGUACAUCUUAUCGAUAAGACGUGUCUGCGGUUAUGGACGACUUGGAAUUGUAUAGCUUGAUCAUAGACAACUUACACCGUUAUCUUGUUGCCAAUAAUCUGAUAAUAACUUGCGUAGUAAUAUAGCCUUACUACAACCGUUACCCAAUAAAACUUGUCCACCGUUGAGUGCCUUUUACAUUGCCUCUUCGCAAUUGUUGGAGGGGAUAUGUGUAAUCGGCUGGGUUAUAUUUGUGUAGUAUUUUAUUUGUUACCUUAUGCGCUCUCUCACCUUCUCUGAUUAGACGAAUGUUGUAGAGUGUCUCUAUAGGUUUUUAGUGCUUGCGCGCUGCCGCUUAACUCCACCAUAUUGCCUAUGACGUUCCUCUUGCGUCCUCUAAGUCCCCUGCGUGCCUCAAGUACAAAGGACGACUGGUUGACGAAUGCUUACACGUCUUGAAGUCUUGGUAAGUACGAACCCGUACUUAUUGCUGCUUCUACGGGAUAUAACCGGGCAGGUAUGAAGAUAUGUUCGAUGAAGAGGAUGUUAGCAAGGUUACCCUUCCGGCUUGGCCUGGGCAGGGUUAUGGACGCCACUGGUUAUCUUCAGGACUCUUAGUACAAUUUGUAUCUUGUCCGUAGUCGGACGUAUUCGAUCUUCUGUAUGAUUUGGAUCUUUGUAUUGUAUAUUUGUAUCUUGACUCGAUGGAGUUGUUGUUGUAAUAUAUGUAUCUUGUGGGCUCUAUUGU